UACGUAGGGUGCGAGCGUUAAUCGGAAUUACUGGGCGUAAAGCGUGCGCAGGCGGUUUUGUAAGCCAGAUGUGAAAUCCCCGGGCUUAACCUGGGAAUGGCAUUUGGGACUGCAAGGCUUGAGUGCGGCAGAGGAGACUGGAAUUCCUGGUGUAGCAGUGAAAUGCGUAGAUAUCAGGAGGAACACCGAUGGCGAAGGCAGGUCUCUGGGACAUUAACUGACGCUGAGGAGCGAAAGCAUGGGGAGCGAACAGG
rnacentral:rRNA from 1 species